rnacentral:rRNA from 1 species
GGGGGACAGAGUGACAGGUGGUGCAUGGUUGUCGUCAGCUCGUGUCGUGAGAUGUUGGGUUAAGUCCCGCAACGAGCGCAACCCUUGAUCUUAGUUGCCAGCAUUCAGUUGGGCACUCUAAGGUGACUGCCGGUGACAAACCGGAGGAAGGUGGGGAUGACGUCAAAUCAUCAUGCCCCUUAUGACCUGGGCUACACACGUGCUACAAUGGGUGGUACAAAGGGCAGCAAAACCGCGAGGUCGAGCAAAUCCCAUAAAACCACUCUCAGUUCGGAUUGCAGGCUGCAACUCGCCUGCAUGAAGCUGGAAUCGCUAGUAAUCGCGGAUCAGCAUGCCGCGGUGAAUACGUUCCCGGGCCUUGUACACACCGCCCGUCACACCACGAGAGUUUGUAACACCCGAAGUCGGUGGGGUAACCCUUACGGGAGCCAGCCGCCGAAGGUGGGACAGAUGAUUGGGGUG